GGGGGUGUAGCGCAGUGGUAGCGCGUCCGCUUUGCAUGCGGAAGGCCCCGGGUUCAAUCCCCGGCUCCUCCA
rfam:Aphanomyces astaci strain APO3 cont1.644, whole genome shotgun sequence.